GAUGAACGCUGGCGGCGUGCUUAACACAUGCAAGUCGAACGGUGAAGGCGGAUCUUGCUCUGCUGGAUCAGUAGCGAACGGGUGAGUAACACGUGAGCAAUCUGCCCCUGACUCAGGGCUAAGCGCUGGAAACGGCGUCUAAUACUGGAUACGAGCUGCGAAGCCAUCUUCAGCAGCUGAAAAGAAUUUCGGUCAGGGAUGAACUCGCGGACUAUCAGCUUGUUGGUGAGGUAAUGGCUCACCAAGGCGUCGACGGGUAGCCACACUGAGAGGGAGACCUGCUAAAUCGGAACUGUGACACGGCCAAGCCGCCUACGGUAGGGAGUGGUGGGGAAUUUGGUCGAAGGGGAGUGCGCGUGAUGCAGCAACGCCGCGGGAGGGUCGACGGCCAUCGGGUGGAAAUCCUCUUUUAGCAGGUAAGAAGAGAAAGUGACGGUACCUGCAGAAAAAGCGCCGGCUAACUACGUG
rnacentral:rRNA from 1 species